UACGGAGGGGCGAAGCGUUGUUCGGAAUUACUGGGCGUAAAGCGCGCGUAGGCGGUUUUCCAAGUUAGGCGUGAAAGCCCUGGGCUCAACCCGGGAAUUGCGCUUAAUACUGGAUGACUUGAGGCCGGGAGAGGGUAGUGGAAUUCCCAGUGUAGAGGUGAAAUUCGUAGAUAUUGGGAAGAACACCAGUGGCGAAGGCGGCUACCUGGACCGGUACUGACGCUGAUGCGCGAAAGCGUGGGGAGCAAACAGGAUUAGAAA
rnacentral:rRNA from 1 species